rnacentral:rRNA from 1 species
UUGGAGGGCAAGUCUGGUGCCAGCAGCCGCGGUAAUUCCAGCUCCAAUAGCGUAUAUUAAAGUUGUUGCAGUUAAAAAGCUCGUAGUUGAAUUUCGGGAUCAAUUUGCUGGUCGUGCCUCUGGUACGUACUGGUAUUAUUGGUUUCUCCCUUCUGACGAACCAUGAUGUCGUUAAUUUGAUGUCGUGGAGAAUCAGGACUGUUACUUUGAAAAAAUUAGAGUGUUUAAAGCAGGCAUUAGCUUGAAUACAUUAGCAUGGAAUAAUGAAAUAGGACGUUUGAUCCUAUUUUGUUGGUUUCUAGGAUUGACGUAAUGAUUAAUAGGGAUAGUUGGGGGCAUUAGUAUUCAAUUGUCAGAGGUGAAAUUCUUGGAUUUAUUGAAGACUAACUACUGCGAAAGCAUUUGCCAAGGAUGUUUUCAUUAAUCAAGAACGAAAGUUAGGGGAUCGAAGACGAUCAGAUACCGUCGUAGUCUUAACCAUAAACUAUGCCGACUAGGGAUCGGAUGAUGUUAAUUUUUUAAUGACUCAUUCGGCGCCUUACGGGAAAC